rnacentral:rRNA from 1 species
GUUGAACGCUGGCGGCAUGCUUUACACAUGCAAGUCGAACGGUAACACGCGUUCGUUUCCUGACGAGUGUCGACCGGGGAAGUAAUACAUCGGAACGGGCCCACUGGUUGGGGAUAACGCAUCGAUAGCUGUGCUAUACCCCAUGUGAGCUUAGGAUGAAAGCGGGGGACCAGGAAGCAUGAUUUGCCCUCGCGCCUUUGGAUCGGCCGAUGUCAGAUUAGGUAGUUGGUGGGGUAAAGGCCUACCAAGCCAACGAUCUGUAGCUGUCCUGAGAGGGCGACCAGCCACACUGGAACUGAGACACGGUCCAGACUCCUACGGGAGGCAGCAGUAGGGAAUUUUGGACAAUGGGCGAAAGCCUGACGCAGCAAUGCCGCGUGAGGGAAGAAGGUCUUCGGGUUGUAAACCGCUUUUGUAAGGAAAGAACAGGUUUUGGAUAAACCCUGCGGCUGAUGACGGUACCGUAAGAAUAAGCAACGGCUAACUACGUG